rnacentral:rRNA from 1 species
GAAAAAUUUAUUGCUAUUAGAUGAGCCUAUAUUAGAUUAGCUAGUUGGUGGAGUAAUAGCCUACCAAGGCAAUGAUCUAUAGCUGAUCUGAGAGGAUGAUCAGCCACACUGGAACUGAGAUACGGUCCAGACUCCUACGGGAGGCAGCAGUGGGGAAUAUUGGACAAUGGGCGAAAGCCUGAUCCAGCUAUGCCGCAUGAGUGAAGAAGGCCUUUGGGUUGUAAAGCUCUUUUAGUGAGGAAGAUAAUGACGGUACUCACAGAAGAAGUCCUGGCUAACUCCGUGCCAGCAGCCGCGGUAAUACGGAGAGGGCUAGCGUUAUUCGGAAUUAUUGGGCGUAAAGGGCGCGUAGGCUGAUUAAUAAGUUAAAAGUGAAAUCCCGAGGCUUAACCUUGGAAUUGCUUUUAAAACUAUUAAUCUAGAGAUUGAAAGAGGAUAGAGGAAUUCCUGAUGUAGAGGUAAAAUUCGUAAAUAUUAGGAGGAACACCAGUGGCGAAGGCGUCUAUCUGGUUCAAAUCUGACGCUGAGGCGCGAAGGCGUGGGGAGCAAACAGGAUUAGAUACCCUGGUAGUCCACGCUAUAAACGAUGAAUGUUAAAUAUGGGAAGUUUA